UUGACCUCGAAUCAGGUAGGAAUUACCCG
rnacentral:rRNA from 1 species